GAUUUCAACUGAAAAAGUCAUCAUCAACAAAGUUGUAUAACCCAUUAAGAUCUAUAACUUUUAUUUUCGUCAUUUUGUUCAUCCAACAAAGUGACAGCAACAUUGUUCACAAAAUUCACAUAUCUCUUAUCUGCUUUUAUAAACUAUAACACACACACAUAUAUAUAUAUAUAUAUAUAUGUAAUUUUUGUGAACAAUAUUACUAAUACUUUGUCGGAUGAAGAAUGAAAAAAAUAGAAGUUAUAGAUCUUGAUGAGUUAUACAACUUUGUUCUUGAUGACUUUUUAGUUGAAAUC
rnacentral:pre_miRNA from 1 species